UGAUCAUGGCUCAGAACGUACGCUGGCGGCACGCCUAACACAUGCAAGUCGAACGAAGUAGCAAUACUUAGUGGCAGACGGGUGAGUAACAUGUAGGUAUCUGCCCUUUGGCCUGGAAUAACACGAGGAAACUUGUGCUAAUACCGGAUAAGUCUUUACGGAGAAAGCUUUAUGCACCAUUGGAUGAGCCUGCACUUGAUUAGUUUGUUGGUGGGGUAAUGGCCUACCAAGACUGUGAUCAAUAGCUGAUUUGAGAGGAUGAUCAGCCACAUUGGGACUGAGACACGGCCCAAACUCCUACGGGAGGCAGCAGUGGGGAAUCUUGCACAAUGGAGGAAACUCUGAUGAAGCGAUGCCGCGUGAGUGAAGAAGGCCUUUGGGUUGUAAAGCUCUUUCGUCGGGGAAGAAAAUGACUGUACCCGAAUAAGAAGGUCCGGCUAACUUCGUGCCAGCAGCCGCGGUAAUACGAAGGGACCUAGCGUAGUUCGGAAUUACUGGGCUUAAAGAGUUCGUAGGUGGUUGAAAAAGUUGGUGGUGAAAUCCCAGAGCUUAACUCUGGAACUGCCAUCAAAACUUUUCAGCUAGAGUAUGAUAGAGGAAAGCAGAAUUUCUAGUGUAGAGGUGAAAUUCGUAGAUAUUAGAAAGAAUACCAAUUGCGAAGGCAGCUUUCUGGAUCAUUACUGACACUGAGGAACGAAAGCAUGGGUAGCGAAGAGGAUUAGAUACCCUCGUAGUCCAUGCCGUAAACGAUGUGUGUUAGACGUUGGAAAUUUAUUUUCAGUGUCGCAGCGAAAGCGAUAAACACACCGCCUGGGGAGUACGACCGCAAGGUUAAAACUCAAAUGAAUUGACGGGGACCCGCACAAGUAGUGGAGCAUGUGGUUUAAUUCGAAGAUACGCGCAGAACCUUACCAACACUUGACAUGUUCGUCGCGACUUUAAGAGAUUAAAGUUUUCGGUUCGGCCGGACGAAACACAGGUGCUGCAUGGCUGUCGUCAGCUCGUGUCGUGAGAUGUUGGGUUAAGUCCCGCAACGAGCGCAACCCUCACUUUUAGUUGCCAUCAUUAAGUUGGGCACUCUGAAAGAACUGCCAGUGAUAAGCUGGAGGAAGGUGGGGAUGACGUCAAGUCCUCAUGGCCCUUACGUGUUGGGCUACACACGUGCUACAAUGGUAUCUACAACAGGAAGCAAGACUGCGAGGUCAAGCAAAUCCUUAAAAGAUACCUCAGUUCGGAUUGCACUCUGCAACUCGAGUGCAUGAAGCUGGAAUUACUAGUAAUCGUGGAUCAGCGUGCCACGGUGAAUGCGUUCCCGGGUCUUGUACACACCGCCCGUCACACCAUGGGAGUUGGUUCUACCUUAAGGCAAGGUUUUAAACCCUUGACCACGGUAUAGUCAGCGACUGGGGUGAAGUCGUAACAAGGUAGCCGUA
rnacentral:rRNA from 1 species